rnacentral:misc_RNA from 1 species
GGACUUAGUAUUUUAUUUGCUGGAAUAGCUCUUUGUGCAGUUGCUGUAUGUACUGGCAGGAGAUGUGGGAAACCAGGUUGUCGUGGGCUUAAGAAAGCUGCUGAAUUUGAUAUUCAAUUAGAGACAGAAGAUUGUGUUAAGAACUCAAAUCUUAUAGCAGCAAAAGAUGGAGUUAAUAAGAAGGGAUUAUUCGAGUUACCUCGCGAUCAUCAUAAAGAAUUGGAAGCUGAGCUUAAAAGGAUGGCACCUCCUAAUGGAAGAGCUGUACUGAUAUUUCGAGGGAGAUGUGGAUGCUCUGUAGGUACAAUGGAAGUGCCUGGACCCAAAAAGACUCGAAAGG